UACGUAGGUGGCAAGCGUUGUCCGGAUUUACUGGGCGUAAAGAGCGCGCAGGCGGUCGUUCAAGUCGCGUGUGAAAGCCCCCGGCUCAACUGGGGAGGGUCACGCGAUACUGAUCGACUCGAAGGCAGGAGAGGGUAGUGGAAUUCCCGGUGUAGUGGUGAAAUGCGUAGAUAUCGGGAGGAACACCGGUGGCGAAGGCGGUUCUCUGGGCCUGUUCUGACGCUGAGGAGCGAAAGCGUGGGGAGCGAACAGG
rnacentral:rRNA from 1 species